AUGUUCGAGUAUCUAAAUGUUGUCAGCAAGAUGUUUGAUAGUGAGGCUGAAGGCUAUGAAUUCUACAACAAAUAUGCUCUUGAAAAAGGUUUUAGUGUGAGGAAAAACUACGUUGAGUGGGAUGGAUCCAACAAAUACAUAAUUUUAAGGAAAAUUGUGUGUAGUCGUCAAGGGUUUCGCGAAGAGAAGCACAUGAAAAGAAAGAUGGAAGAUAGAAAGAGGAGGCCACGAAGUUUAACUCGUGUUGGGUGUAAUGCUAAAUUGGUCAUUAAGAGACAGGAGGAAACCGGUCGGUGGUUUGUCAAGGAUUUCAUCGAUGAGCACAGCCAUCCUCUAGCCCCAUGGGAUCUUUCUUGUCUGCUGCGUUCGCAGACGAAUUAG
rnacentral:rRNA from 1 species